GCCGGAAUAGCUCAGCUGGUAGAGCGGCGCAUUCGUAAUGCGUAGGUCGUAGGUUCGAAUCCUAUUUCCGGCACCA
rnacentral:tRNA from 6 species